rnacentral:rRNA from 1 species
CGCGUAGGCGGCCCGGUAAGUCCGCUGUAAAAGUCCAGGGCUCAACCCUGGAAAGCCGGUGGAUACUGUCGGGCUCGAGUCCGGAAGAGGCGAGUGGAAUUCCUGGUGUAGCGGUGGAAUGCGCAGAUAUCAGGAGGAACACCGAUAGCGAAGGCAGCUCGCUGGGACGGUACUGACGCUGAGGCGCGAAAGCGUGGGGAGCGAACA